rnacentral:rRNA from 1 species
CUUAGUGGCGGACGGGUGAGUAACGCGUGGGUAACCUGCCCUGUACUGGGGGACAACAGUUAGAAAUGACUGCUAAUACCGCAUAAGCCUACAGAGUUGCAUGACUCAGGAGGAAAAAUUCCGGUGGUACAGGAUGGGCCCGCGUCUGAUUAGCUAGUUGGUGAGGUAAUGGCUCACCAAGGCAACGAUCAGUAGCCGGCUUGAGAGAGUGAACGGCCACAUUGGGACUGAGACACGGCCCAAACUCC